rnacentral:rRNA from 1 species
CCUACGGGAGGCAGCAGUGGGGAAUAUUGCACAAUGGGGGAAACCCUGAUGCAGCGACGCCGCGUGAGUGAAGAAGUAUUUCGGUAUGUAAAGCUCUAUCAGCAGGGAAGAAGAAAGACGGUACCUGACUAAGAAGCCCCGGCUAACUACGUGCCAGCAGCCGCGGUAAUACGUAGGGGGCAAGCGUUAUCCGGAUUUACUGGGUGGAAAGGGAGCGUAGACGGCUGUGCAAGUCUGAAGUGAAAGCCCAGGGCUCAACCCUGGGACUGCUUUGGAAAAUGUGGAGCUAGAGUGCUGGAGAGGUAAGUGGAAUUCCUAGUGUAGCGGUGGAAUGCGUAGAUAUUAGGAGGAACACCAGUGGCGAAGGCGGCUUACUGGACAGUAACUGACGUUGAGGCUCGAAAGCGUGGGGAGCAAACAGGAUUAGAUACCCUUGUAGUC